GCAUAAUAAUAUGGUAUUGGUUACUAUAGGUUACCUAUCUACCGAAUAUAAUUUUUUUUUACGCUGUGUCUAGAUACCCAGGUGCCCGUGAAUUAUAAGAAAAAAUGGUUAGCGUCACUGUUGGGGCUUUGGCCGGGCAUUGAAUAUAUAUAUGUGGAUGGUAUACCGUAUGCUUUAAUAAUACUCAGUGUUUCGUAACUUGCGUCUCACGUGAACUACUGUCGUUUGAAUAUAGAUAAAUUACGUGUCGGAGCCCAUCCCUUAUAUUAGCUUGUCGGUAAAAGAACGUUUAUCGUUUGGGUAGUCUCCGAUCAGAGUUCAGUCGAAAUGAAAAAUUCCAAAUCAUUUACACAAGCAAUGCAGUCAACGCCAUCAGUAACAUGUACAAAAUCGCAUGAUCCUGGGUGCUCUCAGCAGCUAGCAGACUCACCGAAAUCAAGUUAUAUUAUUGAAAGAAGAAAGACAAGGAUACAUUUAGUUUCACCAGAAAUAAAGAGGCCAGCCCACUUUCGCCUCUUUAUUUCUGACAUAUAUGACAAACAGAAAAAAAUUAAUUAAAAAUGUAAUAUCAUUGUAAAACGAACACUACAUUUUCAUCGCUACGCUCAGAAUCUAAAAUAUAAUAUUAUAACCACAACUUCUUGGAAUUUUCGCCACCCUUGAUUUUCAUCUUCAAAACGACCAAGAAGUUGGAUUCUUACCUAACCAAAUUAUAAUAAAUUAUUAAUAUGAUUACGGGCUGAAGACAAUUUUGAUCCGAAUACACCGGAAAAUAUGUCGUUUUGAAGAAGUUAAACCCACUACUAAGUUAAAUAUCGUAUACAAAAACAGCGAUCCUAUUUACGUAUCAGACAAGAACAUUUACCAACAAUUUGAUUCAAGAAAACACUGGCCCCACUGCAAAACGAUAGGCACCGUAUACAAUAAAGGAGAAUGCGAGUGUACUUGGGUAAAUAUAGAUACAAGUUUAUUUGGCGGAACGUGGAAACACUGUAUUAAAAUUGAAACAAAGGGUUUUUCAAAAUAAUAAAUAAUAAUCCGACUGAUCGUUGUACAGACAGAAUAUGCGUAGCGACUAGCGGAAAUUACAAUCAUCCCCUAUCCGCCUAAGAGCUAAUUUCCUGCAGUCAUAGUUGCCAAACAGAAGAUUACCCCAUCAAAGCUUGGGAAUAUUUCAAGAGCCACGGCGUGGUCUCCGGUGUCAAAUACAACACUACCGAUGUCAUACACUUAGUUAAUUAUGUGUUAUAUUAUAGAACAAUCGUUAUUGUCAUUGAAUUUCAUAGGGAUGUCAACCUUAUCAAGUUCAACCAAGAAAUAAAAACAAUCAUGAAUGUAUCAAACAGUGUUAUGGUAACAAAAUAAUUGAUUAGGUAAUAUAAUGAUCACGUAAAGAGUAAGUCUACGCUCUACAGUAGCUAAUAAUAUUAAACUGACUUGAUUAAAUAUUUCUUUAUUACUGAGUAUUACAAUUAAAGCUAUUAGCGAUUAACGAUUACAGCUAUUGACACGUAUUACCUAACAUUCGACGCUAUUCAAAAAUACGUGCAAACUUACGAGUCAAUAGCAGCAAGAUUCGAUGUAUACGAUUACUUUUAUACCAACAGAAGUGGUUAGUUUAUAGAUACGAUCAAUAAUCGUAGGUAUAUUUCAUAAGUACAAUAAAUAGUACACUGUGUUUUACAGCUUUGAUUUAUUUUCUGCCUGUUUACGUGAAAUCUGAAAACACGACAUAUAUGGGAACUUAUAAUGCUAAGUUAAUUGGAUGGGGAGUCGAAAACGGUGUUGACUAUUGGUUGUUGGUCAAAUCUUGGGGCUAUGUAUAGGAGCAGGAUGGACUUUUCAAAAUCCGAAGGGGUACAAAUGAAUGCGGAAUAGACAAUUCGACUACAGGAGGUUUACCUUAAAAAAUAACAUCUAAGAUGGUUUAAUAAAAUUAUAAAAUUAGUUAUUAAAAAUGUAUUUAUUUCUACGUUCAAAAAGUUACGUCUUAUAAUUAUAAAAAAACUAUUCAUCUCAGGGACUGAAACCGUACCGAAAUUGACCAGUUUUGGACGGAAACCUUUUGAAAAUCUUGGGAUUGAAACCGGACCGGAACCCUUAAAUACAUUUUUUUAGGAACCGAAACCGAAACUUUUAUUUUGAUGUAGAGGUAUUUACGGUUUUUUCCGGUUCCAAA